GCCAGGCGUGGUGGCGUAUGCCUGUAAUCCCAGCUACUCAGGAGGCUGAGGCAGGAGAAUCACUUGAAUCCGGGAGGCGGAGGUUGCAGUGAGCCGAGAUGGUGCCACUGCACUCCAGCCUGGGUGACAGAGUGAGACUCCGUCUCAA
rnacentral:SRP_RNA from 1 species